GACAUAGGUGGCGAACGUUAUCCGGAAUUAUUGGGCGUAAAGGAUGCGUAGAUGGUAGAAUAAGUUGCUGGUCGAUGCCAAACUCAAUUUGACGGAAGCUGGCAAUACUGUUCUGCUAGAGGGCAGGAGAGGUUGAUGGAAUUCUGUGUGGAGCGGUGAAAUGCGCAGAUAUCAGGAGGAACACCGGUGGCGAAGGCGGGUCUCUGGGCCGAUACUGACGCUGGAGGAGCGAAAGCGUGGGGAGCGAACAGG
rnacentral:rRNA from 1 species